rnacentral:lncRNA from 13 species
UGGGAGGUGCAUUAGCUCUCAGCCACACUCCAUCAUUUCUGCUUCAUUUUGUCCUCCAACAGAGAGAGAUGCACUCACCUGGAGGGUUGUGUGGCUUAGGGCUGCUCUGAUUACCUCUGCUGUCAGAGGAUACCCUGCUGUCUCUUUGGCCAGAGGGGAGAGGAUAAGACCAGAGCCUGUGCCAAGG